CGCGGAGUGGAGCAGUUGGUAGCUCGUCGGGCUCAUAACCCGAAGGUCAUAGGUUCGAAUCCUGUCUCCGCAACCA
rnacentral:tRNA from 2 species